UACGUAGGGUGCAAGCGUUACUCGGAAUUACUGGGCGUAAAGCGUGCGUAGGUGGUUCGUUAAGUCUGAUGUGAAAGCCCUGGGCUCAACCUGGGAAUGGCAUUGGAAACUGGCGAUCUAGAGUGCGGUAGAGGGUAGUGGAAUUCCCGGUGUGGCAGUGAAAUGCGUAGAGAUCGGGAGGAACAUCUGUGGCGAAGGCGACUGCCUGGACCAGCACUGACACUGAGGCACGAAAGCGUGGGGAGCAAACAGG
rnacentral:rRNA from 1 species